rnacentral:sRNA from 1 species
GCCAGGCGUGGUGGCGUGCGCCUGUAAUCCCAGCUAUUCAGGAGGCUGAGGCAGAAGAAUUGCUUGAACCCGGGAGGCGGAGGUUGCAGUGAACCAAGAUCACACCACUGUACUUCAGCCUGGGUGAAAGAGCGAGACUCUGCCUCAA